UUAAUUUAGAUUAUUUUAAUCUUUUCCUUAUUGUAAACUUUAAUAUAUAUUUACAUAAAUAUACUCAAAGUAACCUUUUAAUGAAUAUUGUCAAAUAUCAAAAAAAAAAAAAAAAAAGAUCCGUAAUUAUUUUUUUAAAAAUAAACAAUACUAUAUGUACUAAUUAGUGUACUACUAACUAAUGUAUCAAUUAAUGAUAUGAUAUAAUUUCAGAGAUUUUUAAUAUUUAUAAUGUGAUUAAUGAGUAUGGUCAAUAAUAAUAUCAUAACUAGUGUUGAUAUUGACUAUUUUGAGAAGAUGAUUAUAACCAACUUUUUGAUUAAAAGCUGCUUAUAAACUACUUAUAAGUAAUUUUUUUAUGAGAGAGGAAGUGAGUUAUAAUCCGAAAAGUGAAUUAUAACUCAUUUCUUAAAAAAAACCAUAUUAAUUAGUAUAUUAAUUAAUACAUAUAGCACCAUCGAAAAAAAUAUGUAUAAAAAGUCUCAUUAAAGUUUAUUUUCAACCUCGAAAAAGUGCGAACCUGAUCCCUAUCAACUUUUUGGGUUGGCUUUGGAUUUUUUUGGGUGUUGCGUGCGUUGUUGCAAGUGGUUGGAUUGGUUUUAGGGAGGUGAUCAGUUGUUGUCACUGUUGUGAUUUUUUGCUCCCUAUUAUCAACUUUGUUUUUUAAUAAUAAUAAUAAAAAACUUUGCUUACUUCGAUAUUCGAUUAAAAAAAAAAUUGUUUUAAUAAAAUUAUAAUAAUUAUAUUUGAUUAUUUGGUUAGAAAAAUAUAAUUUCAAUAAAUUUUUUAUUAAUUUUUUCCAAUCUAACACUCAUGUAAUAGUAAAACUUUGGAACUUGAAUCCAUUGAAUUUGAAUGAUAGGAACAAUUCAUUGCCACAUAGUAAGUUAGCAAAAAAAAAAAAGUUAAAAAAUACUGUACGAACUAAUGAAUUU